CUGUUCGGGACAUCACUAGUAUUUACAUAAUAUAUAUAUAUAUAUAUAUAUAUAUAUUAUAUAUUAAUUAAAUAUGUAAAUACUAGUGAUGUCCCGAACGG